UCAAGGUUCCUUUUUUACCAACUUAUCGGUGCAUGCCCUUGACCACAGUACAAAAAAGCAUUUACCAGCACUCUGCAGGUGAAAGGCUAUUCUGCAGUAUAAAUUGUACAUCUUAGAAACAGCAUAUUUUUAGCACUGAAAAGCUAUUCAAGAAUUCCUGUAUCUGUAGGCUAAGUGGUUUGCUUCAGCCCGGGGGCCGACAAUGCUGAUAUUUCAAGAAACCUAAUCUCUUAAUGAUUGGGAUCAGAGGAAUGGGUAUGGCCAUGAAAGAGACAGCUUGAAACAGGCCUAAUCUCAGGCAUAUCUGAAUUUACAAACAGAGCAGAGAGUCAGCAUUGCCACCAACAUUGUUUCAACUGACUGCAAUCUGUCUAUCCCAGGGUGGUCCAUCCAGCAAGAUUGAAUUCCACAUCCUAUCCCACACUGAAAUUUCUUACUCACGGAUACCUUCUCAUGACAGAAUUAUCACAUUUGUUCUCUUUGCACUGAAUGCAAUGGAAAUGUGGGACUGCCAUUAUGCAGAACUACCACUGUGAGAUGCAACCUUGAGAUCUCAGCCGUCUGUGUUAUCACCAGCCAAAAGACUCCAAAGAAUUAGGAAGAGGCCAUGUAAAAGCAAAGAAGACAUGCUGCAUGUAGUAAUGCAGCAGUCACUUAACAAGAAUCUAAAAGCGCAGAAGUGGAAGGAGACUGAAAGGAGGAUCCGCCAGCAGAAUGAGGAGCACCGGCACAAAAGCACGGAGCUCUGGCAGCAAAGCACGGAUCGGCUGAUAAGCAUCAUGGAGUGCCAAGCGGACUCAAUCCAGGAGCUUGUGGUCAUGCAGGUGGAGCACUACCGUGACACACACACACCCCGAGCCCUUGUCCCAAAACUCUUUCCCUUGGGCCCCCAUGUCACCUCCAACCCACUUUCCCCAACAUCCGGGUUCUUAUCACCACCAGCUGCCUCCAACACCUGUAGCUUCACCACCCAGCCCUGAAAACUAUGACCCUUACCCACUGCACUCAACCCCCAUCACCAUGCAUUAUAGCCAUCCUGAAGUGCAGCACUCAUUGCACAGCACUCCAGACAGGAAGGCUGAGUAUAACAACAGGAUAUAUGCAAAUCUGUGAUUGUCCUGUUCCCCACCCCACCCCCUUUGCCCUUUCUGUUUCCCAAGCAGUUGUGUUUCUUUUCAAUAAAUGGAUUUUUUGGCUUUGAAAACAUUCUUUAUUAUUGCCUAAAGUAAAAGAUACCUUAGCCCAGGAAAGCAACAGGCACUGCAAGUCAGCAUAGCAAACACAGAUUCCAACUAACAUUAGAACCACUGCACUUCAAUCCCAUGCAGGGCACCAAACAUUACUGGUGGCUUUCAGCCUCAAAUUGCUCCCUCAAGGUAUCCCUAAUCCUUGCAGCCCCGGGCUGGGCCCCUCUAAUAGCCCUGCUCUCUGGCUGUUCAAAUUCAGCCUCCAGGUGUUGAACCUCAGAGUUCCAUGCCUGACUGAAUCUUUCACCCUUACCUUCACAAAUGUUGUGGAGGGUACAGCACGCGGAUAUAACCGUGGGGAUGUCGUCAUCGGCCAGGUCCAGCUUCCCAUACAGAGAGCGCCAGAAGCCCUUUAAACGGCCAAAAGCACACUCCACAGUCAUUCUGCACCGGCUCAUCCUGUUGUUGAACCGCUCCUUGCUGCUGUCCAGGCUCCUUGUGUAGGGUUUCAUGAGUCACAGCAUUAAAGGGUAAGCAGGGUCUCCCAGGAUCACAAUGGGCAUUUCGACUUCCCCUAUGGUGAUCUUCUUGUCUGAGAAAAAAGUCCCGGCUUGCAGCUUCCUGAACAGGCCAGUGUUCUGAAAGAUGUGUGCGUCAUGCACCUUUCCGGGCCAGCCUGUGUUAAGGUCAAUGAAACGCCCACAGUGAUCCACAAGCGCCUGGAGAACCAUAGAGAAAUACCCCUUCCAGUUAAUGUACUCUGUGGCUAGGUGGGCUGGGCCAGAACUGGAAUAUCCAUCCCAUCUAUCACCCCUCUGCAGUUAUGGAAACCCAUUUGUGCAAAGCCAGCCACAAUGUCAUGCACGUUACCCAGAGUCACUGUUCUUCUGAGCAGGAUGCGUUUAAUGGCCCUGCAAACUUGCAUCAACACGAUUCCAAUGGUCAACUUUCCCACUCCAAACUGGUUAGCAGCCGAUCAGUAGCUGUCUGGAGUUGCCAGCUUCCAGAUUUCGAUAGCCACCUUCUUCUCUACCGUCAGGGCAGCUCUCAAUCUCGUGUCCUUGCGCCGCAGGAUGGGGGCGAGCUCCUCACACAGUCCCAUGAAAAUGGCUUUUCUCACACAAAAGUGCUGCAGCCACUGCUCAUCAUCCCAGACUUGCAGGACGAUGUGAUCCCACCACUUAGUGCUUGUUUCCAGAGCCCAAAAGUGGCGUUCCACGGUGGUGAGCAUGUCCAUGAAUGCCACAAGCAAUCUCGUGUCAUAUGUGUUACUCGAGUCGAUAUCAUCAUCGGACUCCUCACUGUCAGUUUGGAUCUUAAGGAGUAACUUGACUGCCAAACAUGAUGUGCUGGUGAGACUCGUCAGCAUAUUCCUCAGCAGUUCGGGCUCCACUCCCGCAGACCGAAAGGGAAGAUAGAGUGCGCAGUACAAAAAACAUUGAAAGAUGGCACCAAAUGUGAACAGAAGCACAGGGAUUGCUGGGAUGCGAACCGAUGCAUCAUGGGGCGUUGGGACAGGACCCAGAAUGCCCCGCUCCCCUCGCCCCCUUUCCAUAAGCCACAGCGCCAGAAUGGGAAGAGGUGCUCUGUGGGAUAGCUGCCCAUAAUGCACCACUCCCAAUGCCACUGCAAGUGCUGAAAAUGUGGCCACGCCAGUGCGCUUGCAGCUGUCAGUGUGGACAGACUGCAGCACUUUCCCUACUGUGCUCUACAAAGGCUGGUUUAACUCAAAGUGCUCUACAUCUGCAAGUGUAGCCAUGCCCUUAGUAAUCUGUAACAGUCCUUCAACAGACACAGAUUUCUCCCCUCACCACAUCAGCUUUUUUGACAGAUGCAUUAACCAGUCAAGGCUUCAUCUACUCCUCAACCCCCACAGCUCACCCAUUCAGGAAGGAAGGGGAAUAGCAGUGUAGUUACAGCCCCAGUUCCCCUUUCUGUACCAAGAGGUAAGGUCCAGAGAGGCUAUGUACACAUGCCCACAUGUUUUUAUUCCCCUUUACAUGCUUCACCAGCCAUGUGAGGUUUAACCACAAUCUGGCCCACAGAGACACACUUUUCUGUAAUUGUUAACACACAAUAUUAAGCAUCUACAAACCAGGGCAUCAUCUUUAACUUUAAGAAAGUAAAAAAUGAAUGCUAAGUAUAAGUGUUUACAAAUAUAGAUCAGACAAGCACUAUACAGGAAUUACCCUCUUCUACUUAAUUCACAAUUGAAGAUUUUUGUCAAAUACCAUGAUUCUAUUUUGUCCCACUUUCUUUAACUGAUAAAUUGCCUUGCCUUUCAAUAUUUUCAAAUGUAAACAACCUACUGCAUCAAGUAUUGAUUUUAUUUCAGAUGCAGUUUUUCAAUACCUUCAAAAAUAGCAAAGACUGUAUUGUGUGCCAUUCUCUCAAAGAUCAGUUACUACUGAAAAACAAUCAAAAAUCUUGAUGGAUUUUCUUAGUCUGAGGGAUGUGGGAAAAUAAACUAAUGUAAAGAAUUGAUAAGAUCUGUGGUUGAAAUACUUUUAUGGGGGGGAGGGGGAAAUCUAACACUCUGGUUUAGCACGUUACCAGAGAAGAAUUUACUGCAAUAAACUAAAAACACUUUGGAAUUGUAGUUGGAAAAGCAGCACUGUAAGUGAUGUCACAAGUGCGGAUACAGUUUCAUAUUCAUGUUUUAUUUUGCUGUAAUGAUUUUAAAUCCAUGUGAUGUUUAUAAACAUAUCGUGGUAUA